GGGGGUAUAGCCCAGGAUGGAGUGCAUGCUUAGCAUGCCCAAGGCCCUGGGUUCAAUUCCCAGCACCCCCG
rnacentral:tRNA from 1 species